AUACGUAGGUGGCAAGCGUUAUCCGGAUUUACUGGGUGUAAAGGGCGCGUAGGCGGGGGUGCAAGUCAGAUGUGAAAUCUAUGGGCUUAACUCAUAAACUGCAUUUGAAACUGUAUCUCUUGAGUGCUGGAGAGGUAGACGGAAUUCCUUGUGUAGCGGUGAAAUGCGUAGAUAUAAGGAAGAACACCAGUGGCGAAGGCGGUCUACUGGACAGUAACGGACGCUGAGUCGCGAAAGCGUGGGUAGCAAACAGGAUUAGAUACCCUGGUAGUCCACGCUGUAAACGAUGAAUACUAGGUGUGGGGGGACUGACCCCCUCCGUGCCGCAGUUAACACAAUAAGUAUUCCACCUGGGGAGUACGGCCGCAAGGUUGAAACUCAAAUGAAUUGACGGGG
rnacentral:rRNA from 1 species